rfam:Gallionella capsiferriformans ES-2, complete genome.
GAAGCUGGCCAGACAGUCGCCGCGCACCUUGGGUGCGGGGAGGAAAGUCCGGGCUCCAGAGAGCAGAAUGCCGGUUAACGGCCGGACACCGUGAGGUGAUGGAAAGUGCCACAGAAAAUAUACCGCCGAUGGCUGCGUAAGCAGCACAGGUAAGGGCGAAAUGGCGAGGUAAGAGCUCACCGCGCUGGUGGCAACAUCAGUGGCAGGGUAAACCCCAUUCGGAGCAAGAUCAAAUAGGCUGACUAUGACGUGGCUCGCGUCGUCAGCGGGUAGAUUGCUUGAGCGUCAGGUAACGAAACGCCUAGAGGAAUGACUGUCCACGACAGAACCCGGCUUAUCGGCCAGCUUCACCU